rnacentral:lncRNA from 1 species
UAAAAUCUAGUUUAAUCAUAUUGUUCCUAUCAUCGAGGCCUGCAACUCUACACUAACAUUGACACCGGUGUGUUUGUCACAGAUGGAUCAAUUGCUUCAUUAGAUAAAAGAAACAGCACACCCUGCCAACAAUAUGAUAAUUCUCGUUGUGUCAACAUAUAUUCAGGAACAUACUUUCCAGAGGUGUACUCUAAUAAUGUGGUACUUGUAUUGCAAGUGAAGCAUGAGUUUAUCCUCAGCUGGUGCAGCAAGAUUGGAAAUAGACAAACAAGCAGUGUGAUUAUAAACAUUUUUCAUUGUCGGAGUAAUGGGCCACGGGUAGGCUAACCCGAGCCCCAGAACCUUUCAAGACAUCGGGGCAGGCUGCGCCCCUCAAGCCGAGUCUCAGAUGGCGACUUCAAGAUAAGCCGAGUCUCAGAUGGCGACACCAAGAUAAGCCGAGUCUCAGAUGGCGACUCCAAGAUAAGCCGAGUCUCAGAUGGCGACUCCAAGAUAAGCCGAGUCUCAGAUAGCGACUCCAAGAUAAGCCGACUCAUGUCCGGCGACUUCCGGAGGAGCCGGCUAUGGAGAGUCGGCCCGCGACUCUACUCUCGUCGCGAUAGACGAGGCGGGUACGACCACGGCGUGGCCGUCACCUCCUGCUUACGAGGGGCCGGCAUGGCUACAGUGUGUCGUACCGCUGGAGAUCUCCGACGUGGCCCGGCACUGUUGCCAUGCCAGCCCUGACCUCAGCCACAGUGUGCGGCGCACUGUGGCCACGAUGGCCUACCUGUACGACUUAGAGACGGCGGACCCGCCUGUCAAUGAGAGCAUGGAAGACGGCGGAUACGCCCCAAAGGCGGCCCUAUGGGAGUUGGCCCCCUAGAGUCGGCCGGCCUCUCCCACGGGUCCCACGCGCCAUUAACCAGACAAGACGGGGAGUAACGACAGUGAUCGCCCGAUAGAUGGCGGCACUGUUGCCAUGACCCCGUGACCAAGCCUGCGUCAUCAGAAUCACGGCUACAGUGCCGGACUCGCCGGCGGGGCCCGCAAGUCGGCGGGCCCCAGCAGUCGGCGGAAAAGACGGCAGCCUGAGAGACAGACGGCUGGGACCCGCGCCCAGCCGGAUUACCAUUGUACCCCCGGGGGGUAGGCCUAUAUAACCCCCCCGGGUCACCCAUGCAAAGGGUUCGCAUCCAUUAGCCUUAGACCAGACCAUAUAGGAAGGAGAGAGCUAGCCUUGCCUUCUUCUACCUCCCGAAUACAGCUCUAGGAGCAACCUUGUAGUCACUAUGCCUUAGUGAUCAUGCGAAGACCCCGCAGAGCAGCAGUAGGGGUGUUAUCUCCCCGGAGAGCCCCGAAGCUGGGUAAGAUUCGCCGGCGUGCAUGCCUUCGCCUCAUCCCGUUUCCUGGCACCGGCGACGUUCUACUCGCUCCCACCAUGAUAAGCCAUCCUUUGGCAUAUGUCGCACCCAACCCCCGACAUUUGGCACCCACCGUGGGGCGAGGUGCACCGUCGUCCGGAGACUUGCUCUGGACGGGAACCCUCUUCCUCCCCCGCGAGCGUAGCCAGCCCGGCACGCCCGAUGGUGCUUGCCCUGACGCGCUGCAAGGCCUCGACGACGCCUGCGCGGCGAGCUGCCUCACUGACCUUCUUGGCGAGGUUUGCAUCUCCGACGAGCCUGCAUCCGAUGCAGGCACGGGUGGCCCCGAAAGCCUCCUCGCGGGCCUCCUCGACCAUCUCCACGUCGCCGGCGAGCCUGUCGUGGACUUGGAGUCCGUAGGCUCCACCGACCCGAUGCUGGUCGACUCCGACAGCGUGUUGCUCGACACGUUCCCCAACAAUGUGGUGAUCUACGACGAGCCGCUCCCUCACGAGGAGAGCGGCGGAAGCGCCGUCACGGAGGUGCUCGUUAUUAGUCAUGGCGAGCACUCCGGCGAAGGAGCUCAUGACCCGCUUGACGCGGCUCUGCGAGACCUGACGGCGCCCAUUCUGGAGGACGCUGACGCCGAGACGCUGGAGGCACGCCGCCUUCAGCUCAUCGAAGGCGCGAAGAAGCUGGCAAGCAUGAGACGCUUAUCGAAGGCCUACCAACAUGAGAUGGAUCACGCCGUGGGCGGUUCGCCCGUCCCGACUGGGCCUAGCCGCCUAGGCGCGGUCCGACAACGUGGCGCGGCCAUCGCCAACCUGUUCGGGGCCGAUCGCCCCGUGUAUGCCACGCCUGCAGAGAACAUCUGCGCCGCCCAGGCGGUAACAGACGAACUAGACAACUUCGAAGGCGAAGAGCGCCGCUUGAUGACCGAGCGAGUCCAGCGACUCCUCAAAGCGGCUGCCGCACAGAACGAAGCCGGCUGCCGCACGGAGGCGCCGCAGUGACAAAAUGACGACUUACCUCCCCGCCGAGACCAAGGUGCGACGUCUCGGACGCCGACUGGCGGAACCCGCGAAAGAAAAGAGAAGGAGCCGGCUGUCAGCCACAGUCGGACUCGCGUCACCAUCGAGCGCGACCAAGACGGUCGCCCGAGAGCAGUGGAGCGGCAGGGCGACUACCUGCCUCCCCCACCACGAAGAGAAAGACGAGUCUCCCCGCCGCCUGUUGAACAUCCGACUCUCGGCGACCGCCUCGGCCGUCGAGAGGGAGUCGGGGAGAACGACGCCCGCCACCGGAUCAACCGACUCCACCGAUCCCUGGCGCUGGAAGAAGAAGAUGAGCUGGGCCCGCCCUGCUUCGGACCCCGCAUUCGAGACGAGCCCUUUCCCAAAGGAUUCACGCUCCCUCGAGACACGCCCAAGUACACCGGCUCCGUGAAGCCGGAAGAUUGGCUAGUUGACUACUCCACGACCGUCAACAUAGCAAACGGCAACAAGCGCGUUGUCGUGAAGUACGUUCCGCUCAUGCUUCAGGGUACGGCCCGGACAUGGUUGAACAGUUUGAAGCCCCGCAGCAUCAACAAUUGGGUCGACUUCACCGAGGCUUUCAUCCGCAACUUCACAAGCACGUACAAGCGACCCCCCAAGCCGCGCCAGCUCUCCUUGUGCGUGCAAGGCCAAGACGAGUCAACUCGCGACUACCUCACGCGAUGGGGCGAGCUUCGGAACUCCUGCGAGGGCGUGCACGAGGUGCAGGCUAUCGAGUACUUCACCGCCGGGUGCAGAGAAGGCACACUCCUCAAGCACAGACUCCUCUGCGAUGAGCCAGAGACCCUCGAUGAGUUGCUGGUCAUAGCGGACAAGUAUGCCACGGCCGACUCCUCCAUGAAGACAGAGAUUCAAUUUAGUGCGACUGGCAAAGUGGCCCCUCAAGCUCCCAGAACUCCGGCUGGGGACACCAGUCAGCGACAGCAGUAGAAUGAUCACAAGCGCAAGGCCCCACAGCCGACUUCCAGCAGUCGGCAGGUUGCGACAGUCAAAGACCAACAACCUGAGGGGCAGCCUCCCGCGAAGCGGCAGAAAGGCGGCAAGUCCAACUGGUUGCCGGCCUUCUCUUACGAGCAGACUCUAGAUGGUCCCUGCAAAUUCCACAGCGGCGCGAAGCCGUCAAACCAUACCACCCGGAAAUGCCACUGGCUCACCAGAAUCGCCAAAGGAGACGGCCUCCUUCCUCCUCCGCCUGCUGGGCCGCCGCCUCCACAGCCGCCCCAGCAACCGGCGGCCAGGCCAGUCGGCGCCGUACAAGAUGAAUACCCAGAAGAACAUGGAGCUUAUGUAGUGUUCACCAAUAUGGCUGAUGAUCGACGCAGCAGACGAUUGCAGCAGCAAGAAGUAAAUGCAGUAGCAUCAGAUACUCUGGAGUUCAUGCAUUGGUCCGAGAAGCCUAUCAGUUGGAGCAGAGCUGAUCACCCAGAGGUGAUGCCGAAUCCGGGCUCCUACGCCUUGGUUCUGAGCACUACCUUGGCCACUGAUAGGUGGGCCGCCCGCUUCUCGCAAGUGUUGAUAGACGGAGGCAACAGCAUCAACAUCCUGUACAAGGAUACCAUGAAGAAAUUAGGAAUCAAGCAGAAAUAGCUUCAAAGCAGCCGAACUGUUUUCCACGGCAUUGUACCUGGCCUUUCUUGCUCCCCAAUUGGCAAGAUCCAGAUAGAUGUCCUCUUCGGAGACAAAGAUCAUUUUCGCCAAGAGCCAGUUUGGUUUGAAGUGGUGGACCUUGAAAGCUCAUACCAAGCAUUGCUUGGCCGACCUGCUUUGGCCAAGUUCAUGGCGGUCCCCCACUACGCUUACCUCAAGAUGAAGAUGCCAAGUUCAAAGGGGAUUCUGACCGUGGCUGGCGACUACAGGAAGUCGUUCGCCUGCGCGACCGAGAGUAGUCGGCUGGCCGAGUCCCUGGUGAUCGCAGCUGAGAGGCGGCUCCUUGAUCGGGUUGUGGCAAUGGCCGGCAAGCAGCCAGAGAUGUCGCCCGACCCCAAGGAGUCGGAAGCUGAGGGUUCGUUCAAGCCGGCUAAAGAAACAAAGAGGAUACCUUUGGACCCGGAGCAUCCGGAGAGGCACGCUGUCAUAGGUGCAAACCUAGACAGCAAAUAGGAAGGCGAGCUCGUCGAUUUCCUCCGUGAGAAUCGAGACAUCUUCGCAUGGUCCCCUAAAGACAUGCCAGGUGUACCGACGGAAUUCGCCGAGCACAAGUUACAUGUCCGAUCUGAUGUGAAACCCGUCAGGCAGCCCUUGCGCCGCCUGUCAGAAGAGAAAAGAAGAGUUGUUGGAGAAGAGAUAGCCCGACUCCUAGCGGUCGGCUUCAUUAUGGAGGUGUUCUUUCCAGAAUGGCUGGCGAACCCGGUCCUAGUGUUGAAGAAGAACAAGCAGUGGAGGAUGUGUAUCGACUACACAAGCCUCAACAAAGCUUGACCCAAAGAUCCAUUUGCUCUGCCAAGAAUUGACUAGGUGAUAGACUCCACAGCCGGAUGCGAGCUGUUGAGCUUCUUAGAUGCAUAUUCAGGAUAUCACCAGAUCAAGCUGAACCCGGCAGACAGACUGAAGACUGCCUUCAUCACGCCGUUUGGAGCCUUCUGCUACCUGGCUAUGACGUUCGGCUUGAGGAAUGCCGGCGCCACCUUUCAGCGUUGCAUGCAGAAGUGUCUCCUCAAGCAACUCGGCAGAAAUGCCCACGUCUACGUGGAUGAUGUGGUGGUGAAAACGGAAAAGCGUGGGACAUUGUUGGAAGAUCUCCAAGAAACCUUUAAGAAUCUGCGCCGAUUCCAGAUCAAGCUCAAUCCAGAGAAGUGCGUCUUUGGAGUACCAGCCGGCCAGCUCCUUGGCUUCCUGGUCUCUGAAUGCGGCAUAGAGUGCAACCCUGUAAAGAUCAAAGCCAUCGAGAGGAUGGAAGUCCCCCGCCGACUGUUAGAUGUGCAUAAGUUCACCGGCUGCUUGGCGUCCAUCAGCCGAUUCAUCAGUCGGCUAGGCGAGAAGGCCCUCCCUUUAUACCAACUGAUGAAGAAGACCACCUUUUUUGAGUGGAACCACAAGGCGGACGAAGCAUUUCUCGAGUUGAAGAAGAUGUUGACUACUCCCCUGUGCUGGCGACUCCGACUCCUAAAGAGCCUAUGCUCCUAUACAUUGCCGCCACCAGCCGAGUAGUCAGCACAGUUAUCGUAGUUGAACGCAAGGAGGAAGGCAAGGCACUCCCUGUCCAGAGACCGGUAUAUUACCUGAGCGAGGUACUGUCGACCUCCAAGCAGAACUACCCCCACUACCAGAAGAUGUGCUACAGCGUGCAUUUCGCCGCCAAGAAGUUGAAGCCUUACUUUCAAGAGCAUCCGGUCACUGUGGUUUGCACCGCUCCACUGGCCGAGAUCAUCGGAAGCCGUGAUGCUUCAAGCCGAGUAGCCAAGUGGGCCAUAGAUCUGGCUCCCUACACCAUCUACUACCAGCCCCGCACCACCAUCAAGUCACAAGCACUGGCCAACUUCCUUGUCGACUGGGCCGAGACCCAGUACCUGCCGCCAGCACCCGACUCCACCCAUUGGCGGAUGCAUUUUGAUGGCUCCAAGAUGCGCACCGGCUUGGGAGCCGGCGUCGUCCUCACCUCCCCCAAAGGCGACAAGCUCAAGUACGCACUGCAGAUCCACUUUGCCGCCUCCAACAACGUUGCCGAAUACGAGGCACUCGUUCACGGGCUCCGGCUUGCCAAAGAACUCGGCAUCCGGCGGAUCCUGUGCUACGGCGAUUCCGAUUUGGUGGUCCAGCAGUCGUCUGGCGACUGGGACGCCAAAGAUGCAAACAUGGCGAGCUACCGCUUCCUGGUGCAGCAACUCAUCGGAUAUUUUGAGGGGUGUGAAUUCCUUCACGUUCCAAGAAAUGACAACGACCAAGCAGACGCCCUGGCACGAGUCGGCUCCACCCGUCAAGCAAUACCAUCCGGCGUCGCCCUUCAGCACCUCCUCAAGCCGUCUAUCAAGCCUUCGCCAGAAUCAGACUCCAUUUUUGUGCCAACUCCCCCCGAAGAAGUCGGAUCCGACUCAAGAGCACCAACAGACGGCACAAGAAUCCUUACAGACGGCUCCAAAAAUACCGCGGUCAAAGCCGGCCCGGGGACUUCAGAACCCGGCCCGGGGACUGCGACGGUCAGCCCGAAGACUUCAGAACUCGGCCCGGGGACUGCGCCAGUCGACCCGGGGACUUCACCGAUCCAGUAAGCGGCCGCGGAUCCCAGCCCGCCGCCUCCCAGCCCAGCCGCCCUUGUCCAAGUCGCAAUAGUGGCAAUUGAAGAAAUAGCAGCACCCUCAUGGGCCCAGCCCAUCCUCAAGUUCCUAGUAAACAGAGAGCUGCCAGCUGAUGAAAUCCUGGCUCGGCAAGUGCAACGCCGAGCGGCAGCCUAUACCAUAGUCAACAGAGAGCUGGUCAGGCGCAGUGUCACUGGUGUCUACCAACGUUGUGUCGAGGCAGAACAAGGCCAAGCAAUUCUGAGAGACAUUCAUGAAGGCGAGUGUGGCCACCAUGCGGCUUCAAGGGCACUCAUCGCCAAAGCCUUCCGACACGGUUUCUUCUGGCCGACUGCCCUGGAAGAGGCCAAGGAAUUAGUCCAAAACUGCAAAGGGUGCCAGAUGUUCCGUUCCAAGCCGCUCCAGCCGGCUUCAGCGCUCAAGACCAUUCCCAUCGCCUGGCCCUUUGCGGUUUGGGGCUUGGACAUGGUGGGACCAUUCAAGACGGCACGAGGCGGCCUAACUCACCUACUUGUCACAGUGGACAAGUUCACCAAGUGGAUAGAAGUAAAACCCAUCAAGAAGUUGAAUGGUCCGAUUGCAGUAACCUUCAUCGCUGACAUUAUGACUCGGUACGGCAUACCACACAGCAUCAUCACCGACAAUGGUACAAAUUUUGCCAAAGGAGCCUUGGCCCGUUUCUGCGCAACGCAGGGCAUCCGGCUGGACUUAGCGUCCGUCGCCCAUCCGCAGUCAAACGGCCAGGUGGAGCGAGCAAACGGCCUCAUCCUAUCCGGCAUCAAGCCCCGCCUGGUCGAACCACUAGAGCGUUCGGCCGGCUGUUGGCUUGAGGAGCUGCCAGCCGUCCUCUGGAGUCUGCGCACGACUCCAAAUAAGUCAACCGGCUUCACGCCUUUCUUCCUCGUCUACGGUGCUGAAGCCGUCAUCCCGACGGACAUAGAAUUCGACUCCCCGCGAGUCACCAUGUACACCGAGGAGGAAGCAGAAGAAGCACGUCAAGACGGCGUCGAUCUGCUGGAAGAGGGCCGACUGUUGGCACUUAGUCGGUCCGGCAUCUACCAGUAGAGCCUGCGCCGAUACUACAACAGGAAGGUCAGGCCAAGAUCUUUCCAAGAGGGCGACCUUGUGCUCCCACUGAUUCAGCGGACAGCCGGCCAGCACAAGCUUUCGGCACCUUGGGAAGGCCCCUUCAUUGUCAGCAAAGUGUUGGGCAACGACUCCUACUACCUGAUUGACGCUCAGAAGCCCCGAGCACGCAAGAGAGACGACUCCGGCAAAGAGUCGGAAUGGCCAUGGAAUGCAAACCUCCUUCGAAGAUUUUACAGUUGAUUCAGUAUGUAUCACGUUACCCCUUUGUAUUAAAGUACCGAGACUUUGAGCCCCCCGAGACGAGCUCGGGGACUGCCCCUUUUGAUUAUCUGUAUGAUAAGAGUUAUGCCUUCAAGUAUGCUACUUCUUGCUACGCCGCUCGGCACCGGGCUCGACUAGUCGGCCCGGGGACUCGCCGUCUGGCGCUAUGAAAUGUUUUCUGAAGUCGGACAAGUAGUGUGCGGCGCCUAAGCCGUCUCCUGCCAGAAGCCGCAGCUCGCAGAGCGACUGUUUGGUAGGCAGGAGUAAGGAUGAAUGGGCGUUCACACGAAAAAUGGCUAAGGACCUAAAACAUUAACAUAGCCUAAGCCGGCUUCCAGCCCCCUUUCACAAGCCGAAUCGCGAGUAUUCGGCUUGCCGCUUUCUAUCCAACUUGUUAAAUAAACUUCAAUGAAAGGCAAGUACUUGCUUUCCCCAAAGUAGCCAGGCAUUUGGCCCAGCGGUAGUCCGCAGAGCGGUUAGCCGGCUGACAAAGCGGCAACUAGGGGAAGGCGACAAAGGAAAAAGCCAAAGGAGCAAUGAGCAAGGAAAGAUAGAACUCGGAUUAAUAUUUACAUAAGCAUAGGCCCAUUGGCCGAAUCUCCAGACAGAAGUUCAAAAUACACCCCGGGGGUGGAAUUGUGCAAAUUAACAAGUUCCUAAAAGACUUUCUAGAGCAGAUAAAAUAAAGCCAGAAGGCAGCCUAGGGAGAAGCAGACGGGUUCGGAGGGUCGGAGGAGACGGCGGUGUCAGGCGCCGGGGCGGCCGGCUGGGCAGUCUGGGCUCGGCUCGUCUCUAGAGGCGCGGUCGAGCUGAGGCUGGUCGCCCGCUCCGUCUUCUGGCGCCUUUGUCCUCCGCCUCGCCUUCUUCCUCGGUGCUGGAGUCAAUCACCUCCGCCGAGUCCUCGCCAUAUUCUAGGUUCAUCCCGAACCACUCUGGCGGAACCUCCUCACCGCCUUCAGCCCACUCGGGGACGAAGACACUGGUGUCCGUGUAGUCGGCGAUGGCCGCCGCACACUCGACAAGGGCGCCCUCCACAGCCUCCAGCUCGGCCUGGGCCUCUGACCGGAACGCGGCCAGACGGUCCAGGUCCAGCCCCGGAUACCACGCCUUGACGAAUUCCAAGGCCCGGCGCGCUCCGGCCCGGGCCAAGGAACCCUUCCAGGCCUCAAGACGGCCGGCUGCGACCUCCAGCCAGUCGGCAGUUCGACUGGCAGUGCGCAGAGCCGGCAUGUCUGGCCACAGGGCGGCAACUGCCUGGGCGCCGGCACGCUGAAGCCGGCGCAUCAGCCGGUGGGCCGGAAGAAGACGGGCCUCGAUGCUCAGAAGUUGCUCAUCGACAGUCAGGGGAGCGUUGGCGGCAAUCACCUCGCCGCUUGCCCUCCGCGCCUCACGAUCAGCCUCGAUGGCCAGAGGGACUGCCUGCGAGUGGCCAGGGAAGAAGUCUGCCAAGACAAAAAAGAAGCAAGUCAAAAAAUCAGAAGUCAGCCCGACACAUAGUCGGAAACUCAAAGAAAGAAACUCACCAUCGACGAUGUCCUCGAUCUCAUGGAAGCCGGAGGUCAGCAUCGCCUCCUUGUCGGUCCAGGAGGAGCGCUCGCUCUUGAACUCGGCCAGAAGAGCAGCCUCCUUCUUCUCGGCCUCGUCCUGCGUUUUCUUGAGCAGCUCCUGCUCGGCCAGCUGCGCAGCAAGCAGAUCGCGCUCCGCAGCAAGCUUGCUGCACUCCUCCCCCUUGACGCGCAAGGCAGUGUUAACUUCACCCAGCUGCUCCUGGAGAGUGGCGUUAGCCCCUGAAGAACGAAAGAAAGAGACGAAUAAGUCAUCAGCAAAGAAGAUCGCUGGAAUGAUCCAGCCCGACUGCUCAGCAGUCGGCCCGAAUCUCGAGGACUACAGCCCGCGGGUGCGCCAGCGCGCCCCCGCGAAAAAGAGGAACAAAGAAGGAGACGUUGAAGUCGCCAAGAAAGAAGAUCGCCGGGAAGAUCCGGCCCGACUGCUCAGCAGUCGGCCCGAAUCUCGGGGACUACAGCCCGCGGGUGCGCCAGCGCGCCCCCGCGAAGAAGAGAAAAAGAACUUACUCCGGCUUUCUGUCAAGUCGGCAAUCCGCUUGCUCAACUCCUCAACAUUACGGUUGAAGGUAGUGGCGCGGAGGUUGUGAUACUCCUGCAAACAAAAAUUUCAGACAAAGAUAAAUACUCGGAACUCGCCAGAGGGAGUUCCGAGCCGCCUGCUCAGCAAUCAGCCCGAAACUCGGAGACUACACCUAGUGGGUGCGCUGGCGCGCCCCCACAGAGAAGAGCAAGAAAGACAAGAAUCAAAGAGGAAAACAUACCCGGAUGGCCACUCGCGACACUAGAUGUGCCUUGGUGCAGAUCUGGAGGGCAUCGCCUUUGGCUCGCAGCUUCGCUUGGACAUCCAGAAGCGCCUGGUUCAGCGGGGCCGUGCCGCCUCCGCACACCCACCCAACAGGCGCGGUACUCGUCGCCUCGGCGUCUGGGAUGGCCGAGCUAGCGCCUCUGACCUCCAGGGGCCGCGGCGCCGAAGUCGCCUUCUCGAGGCGGCGGCGCACUAGCGAGGCAACCUGAAGAAGCAGCCUCGCCUCGACCUCAUCCUCAGUCCGCGGCACCGGCUGUUUGCCGUGGGCCCUCCCAGACGGCAGUAGAGGCGGAGGCGGCGGCACCAGCGUGUCCGACAUGGAGCCCUCGCCGCUCUUCUUCUCCACGACGGGGUUCUUGGCGCCGGCUUCUCCGGUCUGCUCCGUGAAUUCCGGAGGCGGCGGUGCGGAGGAUAGUGGGGCGACAAGCAACACCGAUUGGCGACGUGCGGCCUCCUCAGCUCGCCGUCUCGCCGCAAGGGCGGCUUCAGCAUCCUCCAGCUUCUUCUGGGCGGAGGCAGCCGCCUUUUCGGUCUCCGCCUUCUCCAGGCGGUCGGCCUCCUCCUCGUCGCGCUUCUCCCGCGCGUUUCGCUCCGUCGCCUCCCGGAGGUCGGCGGCGGGGUCAACCCGCUGAGUAUUGGCGGACGUCUCUGCCGACCUCAUGACGGAGGGGACGGCGACUCUUUCAAGGGAAAUAGGGGCCUGAAGAAAAAAGGGGAGGAGUGUAAAAGAAGAACUCGGACAAGACUCACCAGAGAAAAAUAAAGACAAAGGUGAAAAAACUUACGCAAAGACUAGCGGCGGCCUUCUCACUUCCCUACGGAAGCGGUUGGCCUUCGCGGCCGCCUCCUCCCGCUUGGUCGCGGCGGCCGCCCCCUUGAACUUCUUCAACUUGCCGCCGGGCGCACUCGGCCCGGCGUGACGCCUCUUCGCGCCGCCUUGGCCGGCCAGGCCGGCGGAGGAACCCGUGCCCGAGGGGCCGACCCUUAGCUGAUGGCGCGGGAUGACUUCCCCUUCGGCGUCGUCCUCAGGCCAGUCGGCGAAGGUGGCCGAGGGCCUGAGGCCGCUUCCCACUCCUCCUCCUCCGCCUUCGGCGUCGGCUUCCAUCGCCGACGGCCCCAAGUCGGGGCCGUCGACAUCGCUCUCCGCUCGGUCGAGGACGAACUCGCGGGGCGGUCUCGUGACACCGGCUGCAGGUUGCAUGAGGGGGUUCUAGUUCAGAAGAAACCAAUGAAAAUCAGAAGUCAGAUUCGGCUAUAAAGAAGACAAAGCAAUAAGGAGAUGCGACUUACCACUGGAGGGGGGUUGGCUCGCGAGUACGGAUCCUUGCCGAACUGCCAGUCCUCCCCGAACUCGCAGUUCGUGAUAUGGUUCACCAUGUUUGCCACCUCCGCGCGGGGCAUCUCCUUGGUGCUCAUCCGACUCGGGUCUCGGUGGCCGCUCAUCUGACAGAUCAGGUGAGGCCGGCCUUGGAGCGGGAGGACUCGGCGCGCCACGAAGGCGGCCAGCAAGUCGGCCUCGACGAGGCCCUCCGACUGUGUCAAGACUCGGAGUCGCGCUACGACGGCGGCUCCGGCGGGAGUCAGCAUCUUGACUCGAUGAGACCAGCUGGGGAGCCUCCCAGCUGGGGUGCCGGCUUCAUAAGGCGGCAGAUUAACCCAGUCGCCGUCAGGGGCGAGGUUCUUCACGUAGAAGUACGAGCGCUGCCACAUCUUCACCGACUUGAUCAGCGAGAUGGAAGGGAAGGGGUUGUCGGCCGUCGAUCGCCGCAUCGCGAUGAAGGCACCGCAUUGAGCCGGCACGCCGGCGACGUGCGUGCCGAGCUUAGAUGAGAAGAAUUCUCCCCACAGCUCGAUGGUGGGGAGAACACCGAGGAAACCUUCGCACAAAGUGGCGAAGGCGGACAACAGCACCACUGUAUUCGGGGUGAGGUGGUGCGGCUGGAGGCCGUGAAACUCCAAGAAGGAGCGAAAGAAGCCGCUCGCCGGUAGCCCCAGGCCGCGCAUGAGGUGCGAGCGGAAGAUGACCCGCUCGCCCUCCUCCGGCGCUGGCGAUAUCUCCCUCGCCGGUGCGGUGCGGGCUCGCACGAGGUGUGCGCCGGGGAGGCGGCGCGUCUUGCAGAGGAACUCAAUGAGGUCGUCGUCGACCACCGAGCCGUCCCACGCGCCGGAACGCACGGCCGGAGCCACGGCGGCGGAGGAAGAGCUCAUCGCUGGCUGGUGCGGUGUGGUUCUGCUCACCGGCGGCAAGAAGAAGGAGAGAGGAGGCAAGAGGAGACGGGGAUCGGGGGAGAUGGGCGCGCGUGCUUUGCCGCUCCACUCCCCCCCUCCUACUUAUAGCCUUGGAGGCUGAGAAGCCGAGGGGGCGGGCGUGGGAUUAACUGCGCUCAGAGCCCCACGCCGCCCCACGAUUUACCCCACGAAGUUACUGCGCGCAGUAACGACGUGAGAAGCCCAACCGUUCGCACGGCCGCAGUGGAUCCGUUCGCGUGCUGAGGCAUGGUAGUGGCGGGCCCCGCCUGACGGCCCGUCCCGUCGCGCGCGUGGGCAAGCAGACUGCCCCCGCCGCGUGGCGCCGCGCGAUAGGACCGCGGCGGGCGGCAGCAGGGAAGCGUAUCAGGCACGCCGCCUGGUCUCCCGCCACGACUUUCGAGCUCUUUAUAGAGCAAGACGGCCCUCUACGAAUCCGACUUCGAAUAGUCGGCCCAGAGGAAGACGACAAGCGAAGCCCAGAUCCCACCACCGGAAGAAUGAAACUGUUGAGGCCCCACAGCGUGUCACUCUCGGAGCCUCACCAGCUUCGGGGACUACUGUCGGAGUAAUGGGCCACGGGUAGGCUAACCCGAGCCCCAGAACCUUUCAAGACAUCGGGGCAAGCUGCGCCCCUCAAGCCGAGUCUCAGAUGGUGACUCCAAGAUAAGCCGAGUCUCAGAUGGCGACUCCAAGAUAAGCCGAGUCUCAGAUGGUGACUCCAAGAUAAGCCGAGUCUCAGAUGGCGACUCCAAGAUAAGCCGAGUCUCAGAUAGCGACUCCAAGAUAAGCCGACUCAUGGCCGGCGACUUCCGGAGGAGCCGGCUAUGGAGAGUCGGCCCGCGACUCUACUCUCGUCGCGAUAGGCGAGGCGGGUACGACCACGGCGUGGCCGUCACCUCCUGCUUACGAGGGGCCGGCAUGGCUACAGUGUGCCGUACCGCUGGAGAUCUCCGGCGUGGCCCGGCACUGUUGCCAUGCCAGCCCUGACCUCAGCCACAGUGUGCGGUGCACUGUGGCCACGAUGGCCUGCCUGUACGACUCAGAGACGGCGGACCCGCCUGUCAGUGAGAGCAUGGAAGACGGCGGAUACGCCUCGAAGGCGGCCCUGUGGGAGUCGGCCCCCUAGAGUCGGCCGGCCUCUCCCACGCGCCAUUAACGAGACAAGACGAGGAGUAACGACAGUGAUCGCCCGAUAGAUGGCGGCACUGUUGCCAUGACCCCGUGACCAAGCAUGCGUCAUCAGAAUCACGGCUACAGUGCCGAACUCACCGGCGGGGCCCGCAAGUCGGCGGGCCCCAGCAGUCGGUGGAGAAGACGGCGGCCUGAGAGACAGACGGCUGGGACCCGCGCCCAGCCGGAUUACCAUUGUACCCCCGGGGGUAGGCCUAUAUAAACCCCCCGAGGCACCCAUGCAAAGGAUUCGCAUCCAUUAGCCUUAGACCAGACCAUAUAGGAAGGAGAGAGCUAGCCUUGUCUUCUUCUACCUCCCGAAUACAGCUCUAGGAGCAACCUUGUAGUCACUAUGCCUUAGUGAUCAUGCGGAGACCCCGCAGAGCAGCAGUAGGGGUGUUAUCUCCCCGGAGAGCCCCGAAGCUGGGUAAGAUUCGCCGGCGUGCAUGCCUUCGCCUCAUCUCGUUUCCUGGCACCGGCGACGUUCUACUCGCUCCCACCAUGAUAAGCCAUCCUUUGGCAUAUGUCGCACCCAACCCCCGACAUUCAUGUUUUCCAAGUAAAAAAGAAAGUCUCCAUAUGAUUGUCAGUACUUGUGUAUGAACAAGUUAAUACCUGGGAUUUACGGUACAAGUCAGCAGUAUAUUAUUCGCUACGCAACUCUUGUUAUUCACUUUGUUGAUUUUGAAUGCCCUUUUUGAUGCCCAACUGAGGAAACCCUCACUAAUUUUCAUGUUCCAGAUUUGAUCUUGCCAGAAUUCUCACUAUUAGAACCUGUACUUGCAACCAGCUAUUGUUCCUGACUUCAUUUUUGUGCAGAUUUGAUGCAAUUGAGGAUUAACCAAUGUUUUCUUGUGCGUCGGCGGGUGAAGACUUUCAUGGCUGGGGUCACAACAAUCUCCUAAGUGUAUAGCUUAGAUUAGGAAGAAAUAAAUCAUGUAGUACGUGGCUUUUGAAGUUCAGAUGGACAACUUUUGUAAAGUUUAUGUUAUUUUUGUAUCAAAUUCUUGCGAUGUUCCCACGAAAAAUACUACGUUUUUACAUGGAAACAGCUAAAAAAUAUUGUGUCCAGCGCGAUCACAUAAUUCAGUUAUAAACCUUCAAGCAUUACAACUGAUUGAAGAAUAGAUCACAUGCAUCUUUUGCCAGAA